GCGACCCCAGGUCAGGCGGGACUACCCGCUGAGUUUAAGCAUAUCAUAAAGCCGGAGGAAA
rnacentral:rRNA from 1 species